rnacentral:rRNA from 1 species
CCCUUAGAUGUUCGGGGCCGCACGCGCGCUACACUGAUGGGGUCAGCGUGUUUACUCGUCCUGGUCCGGCAGGAUUGGGCAAUCCGUUGAACCCCCGUCGUGAUUGGGAUCGGAGCUUGUAAUUAUUCUCCGUGAACGAGGAAUUCCCAGUAAGCGCAAGUCAUAAGCUCGCGUUGAUUACGUCCCUGCCCUUUGUACACACCGCCCGUCGCACCUACCGAUUGAAUGGUCCGGUGAAAUCUCCGGACUGGCGUGAGUCGGAGCAAUCUGACAAACACCGGAAAGUUGAUUAAACCUUACCAUUUAGAGGAAGGUGAAGUCGUAACA